AUUGAACGCUGGCGGCAGGCCUAACCCAUGCAAGUCGAGCGGAUGAAGGGAGCUUGCUCCUGGAUUCAGCGGCGGACGGGUGAGUAAUGCCUAGGAAUCUGCCUGGUAGUGGGGGAUAACGUCCGGAAACGGGCGCUAAUACCGCAUCCGUCCUGAGGGAGAAAGUGGGGGAUCUUCGGACCUCACGCUAUCAGAUGAGCCUAGGUCGGAUUAGCUAGUUGGUGGGGUAAAGGCCUACCAAGGCGACGAUCCGUAACUGGUCUGAGAGGAUGAUCAGUCACACUGGAACUGAGACACGGUCCAGACUCCUACGGGAGGCAGCAGUGGGGAAUAUUGGACAAUGGGCGAAAGCCUGAUCCAGCAAUGCCGCGUGUGUGAAGAAGGUCUUCGGAUUGUAAAGCACUUUAAGUUGGGAGGAAGGGCAGUAAGUUAAUACCUUGCUGUUUUGACGUUACCAACAGAAUAAGCACCGGCUAACUUCGUG
rnacentral:rRNA from 1 species